rnacentral:rRNA from 1 species
CUUAGCCUUAAACCUAGGUGAUUACAACAACAAAAUCACUCGCCAGAGUACUACUAGCAACAGCUUAAAACUCAAAGGACUUGGCGGUGCUUCAUACCCCCUAGAGGAGCCUGUUCUAUAAUCGAUAAACCCCGAUCAACCUCACCAACCCUUGCUAAUUCAGUCUAUAUACCGCCAUCUCCAGCAAACCCCUAUAGGGAUCAAUAGUAAGCUUAACUAUUCAAACAUAAAAACGUUAGGUCAAGGUGUAACCGAUGGGCUGGGAAGAAAUGGGCUACAUUUUCUUGUCUUAAGAAAACUUCAAAAUCCUUACGAAAGCCCCUAUGAAACUGAGGGCCCAAGGAGGAUUUAGUAGUAAAUCAAGAAUAGAGUGCUUGAUUGAACUAGGCCAUGAAG